rnacentral:misc_RNA from 1 species
GAUGAAGAACGUAGCGAAAUGCGAUAAGUAGUGUGAAUUGCAGAAUUCAGUGAAUCAUCGAAUCUUUAAACGCACAUUGCGCCCUUUGGUAUUCCUUAGGGCAUGCCUGUUCGAGCGUCAUUUGAAACCUCAAGCUCAGCUUGGUGUUGGGUGUCUGUCCCCGCCUCCGCGGGGACUCGCCUCAAAAUCAUUGGCGGCCGGUACGUUGGCUUCGAGCGCAGCAGAAACGCGAACUCGAGGCCCGGCGGAUCGGCGACCAGAAGUCUCUUCUUCACAGUUUGACCUCGGAUCAGGUAGGGAUACCCGCUGAACUUAAGCAUAUCAAUAAGCGGAGGA